CGGCUGGGCCCCGCAGGCGCCGGGCACCGGAGGGGGAGGGCCCCGAGGGCCCGGGGCGCUGUUCCAAAGGCCAGAAAAUGGAAACUGUGCGAAAAGAAUCCCCAAAUCCGGCCGGGCCCCAAGCCCACCAGCUUACAUAAAGCCCCAGGAGCCCGCCCGCGGCCUCCCCGCCUCGGGGUGAACAAUCGGCGGGCGCCCGGCCAGGCUGCCCUGGGACUGGCACCACCACCGGCCCCCUGACCACGGGCCCGGCGUGACCCCGGGAGGGGGCAGGGGUCCCGGCCUCUUCCCACCAUCUGCCCCGAGAAACAUUUAACUGGCCUUUAAUCACAUUAGCAGCCGGCCCCAAUUAGGGCCGCGGGAGGGGGAGGCAGGAGGAAACCGCCGCCGUGUCACUCGAGGAUAAAGAUCCUUUCAUGCCCUGGGCCUGGCCGUGGGCAACGCGGCGGGCGCCAUCCCCAGCCUUUGAUUGCCGGCGCCUGGGCCUCGCCGACGCCGCCAUCUCUUUACCCGCCCCCCCCUCCCCAGCCCCCAGUGUGCCCUCGCCCUCGGGUGACCGCGUGGGGACGCAGGGCAGCGUCCGAGGCCCCGGCCCACGCCCGCGCGCCCACGCGCCCACGCGGCGGAAGUCUGGCCCCCUGCGCCCAGCGCCUGCGCACCGGAGCGCUCCCAGGGGGCGGCGGGGGCUCGAAGAGGGCCCCGGGGACGCCAGCGCCCGGGCCGGGACCCUGGUCCCUAUAGAUCAGCAUGGGUGAGGAAGAGCGCCCACCUUAUGUGAAAAGUGCGGACUCGUUUCUGCCCUCUGCCAUCGUGGUGAAGGUUUGUUGAGCAACGGACCGCUUCCCUAAGGAGCAGGGUGCUCGGCAAGAACCUACGAAGAGCAUGGGCGUGGAGGCUGACCGCCUCGAGUCCGGCCCCAGGAUUCAGCUUGGAGCCGGGACGCGCAGGUCACUGGGUGCCCGCACCUGUGUUCCCUCAUCUGCAGUGGCUGUGGGCAUCAGCGUCCUCAUCUGAGCUGUUGUAGGGAUGAACCCGCGGACCCAGGUAAGGUCCUUCGCGGCGCCUGACAUGUCGUAGAGGGUGUGAUGUUGUGAUCAGUCGCUACGGAGAAGACGGGAUUUUACAAAAACAAAAUUAGAAACGCUGAGGACUCUGGAUAUUUGUCUUGAAAGUGAUGUGUACUUUGCUCUACUGCCAUAUUAAGAAUAUUAGCCUGGGGGCGCCUGGGGGGCUCAGUCGGUUGAGUGUCUGACUUGGGCUCAGGUCGUGAUCUCGCGGUGCGUGGGUUCGAGCCCCACGUCGGGCUCUGUGCUGACAGCUCGGAGCCUGGAGCCUGUUUCAGAUUCUGUGUCUCCCUCUCUCUCUACCCCUCCCCUGCACAUGCUCUGUCUUUCUCUCUCUCUCUCUCUCUCUCUCUCUCUCUCUUUAAAGUGAAUAAAAUUUUAAAAAAAUUAGAAAAAAUCUUUUAA
rnacentral:lncRNA from 1 species